CAGUCGCCGCGGUAACACGUAGGUGGCAAGCGUUGUCCGGAAUUAUUGGGCGUAAAGGGCUCGCAGGCGGUUUCUUAAGUCUGAUGUGAAGGCCCCCGGCUCAACCGGGGAGGGUCAUUGGAAACUGGGAAACUUGAGUGCAGAAGAGGAGGGUGGAAUUCCACGUGUAGCGGUGAAAUGCGUAGAGAUGUGGAGGAACACCAGUGGCGAAGGCGACUCUCUGGUCUGUAACUGACGCUGAGGAGCGAAAGCGUGGGGGGCGAACAGGAUUAGAUACCCCAGUAGUCCCUGUCUCUUAUAC
rnacentral:rRNA from 1 species